ACGGCGCGCCUGCUCUGGGCUCUCCGCGUGCCGCGUCGCUUUCUUUUCUUCCUCUGGAGCAGUUAUGGCGGCGGCGAAGACCCUGAACCCCAAGGCCAAGGUGGCCGGAGCGCAGGCGGCGCUGGCGUUCAACAUUAGCGGGGCGCGGGGUCUGCAGGACGUGCUGAGGACCAACCUGGGGCCCAAAGGGACCAUAAAGAUGGCCUUCAUCCCAGAAUAAUCACUGAAGGAUUUGAAGCUGUGAAGGAAAAGCCCUUCAUUUUUUGGAAGAAGUCAAAGUAAGCAGAGAGAUGGACAAGGAAACACUUAAAGAUGUGGCCAGGGCAUCUCUUUGUACUAAAGUUCAUGCUGAACUUGCAGAUGUCUUAACAGAGGCUGUAGUGGGCUCCAUUUUGGCCAUUAAAAGAAAAGAUGAACCUAUUGAUCUCUUCAUGAUUUUGUGAUCAUUGACAAGAAACAUAAAUCUGAAACUGAUACAAGAGAAGUGAAUUCUGGCGUUUUUUACAAGAGUGCAGAAAGAGAAAAACUCAUAAAAGCUGAAAGAAAAUUCAUUGAAGAUAGAGUUAAAACAAAUAAUAGAACUGAAAAGGAAAGUCUGUAGUAAUUCAGAUAAAGGAUUUGUUAUUAAUCAAAAGGGAAUUGACCCCUUUUCCUUAGAUGCUCUUUCAAAGAAGGCAUAGUCGCUCUUCACAGAGCUAAAAGGAGGAAUAUGGAGAGGCUGACUCUUGCUUGUGGUGGGGUGGCCCUGAAUUCUUUUGAGGACCUAAGUCCUGACUGCUUGAGACAUGCAGGACUUGUAUAUGAGUAUACAUUGGGAGAAGUUCACCUUUAUUGAGAAGUGUAACAACCCUCGUUCUGUCACAUUAUUGAUCAAAGGACCAAAUAAGCCCACACUUAGAUCAAAGAUGCAGUAAGGGAUGGCUUGAGGGCUGUCAAAAAUGCUAUUGAUGAUGGUAAGAUCCUCACCAUAUUUCAAUUCUAUUAAAUUGUUUUGCUGGUCUGAAAAGCAUGGCUGAAUACUGUGUUCUUUUAUCAGUAGUUUACACAGCCAGACACCAUGCAAAAGCAGUCUUCCCUUUAGAAUGACUGAUGGUAUGCUAAGGUUUUUCAUAGCAUAUCAUUAUUAAAGGUGAAUACAAAUAAAUGAACUAAUACUGAUCUGUUGAAAGAGCUGCCAGUGGCCAGUGAAGCCAUUCUGGUUGGACCAUUCUCCUAUUUGAUAUGUUAGUCGCUUGUAUUGUGGCUUUCACAUGCAGUACUUAAAUUGAUGUGGUCAUAGUGAAUUUGUAAGAAAUUAAUGGCUUUCAUAUGUAUAUUUUGUUAUUCAUAAUUAGUUCUACAGUUUUCUUAGCAUUUUUCUUUUUCCCCCAUCCAACAGGCUGUGUGGUUCCGGUGCUGGUGCCGUGGAAGUGGCAAUGGCAGAAGCCCUGAAUAAAUAUAAGCUCAGUGUAAAGGGCAAGGCACAGCUUGGAGUCCAAGCAUUUGCUGAUGUGUUGCUCGUUAUUCCCAAGGUGAGCCCGUGGUAGCAGCAGAAGCAGGCAUUAUGGGAUAACGAUUGUGUAAAGAAACAGCUUCUUCAUUCCUGCACUGGUUGCCACCAACAUUCUCUUGGUUGAUGAGAUCAUGCGAGCUGGAAUCUUCUCUGAAAGGUUGAAUUGAAGCUUCCUCUGUAUCUGAGUCUUGAAGACUCUGCAAAGUGAUCCUGAAGAAUACAGCUGUGGAAUUUUUGUCCAAGCUUCAAAUGAGUUUCAAGGGAAUUUUCCCAUGUGAAAAAAGGAGAGAACACUGGCAUCUGUUGAAAUUCGGAAGUUCUGAAAUUAUAAUCACAGUAUUUUUUAAAAAUUGCACUGAAGUGUACACAGAUAAAGCAGGUCUUUCACCCAGUGAACAGGAUGUUUUGCUUUAGCAGCAGUGACAUAAAAUUCCAUGUUAAAUAAGCAUAUAUUACCUACCUUAUUAAAUAUUCCUUGAAAAAGCA
rnacentral:lncRNA from 1 species